AGUGAACGCUGGCGGUAGGCCUAACACAUGCAAGUCGAACGGCAGCACAGUAAGAGCUUGCUCUUACGGGUGGCGAGUGGCGGACGGGUGAGGAAUACAUCGGAAUCUACUUUUUCGUGGGGGAUAACGUAGGGAAACUUACGCUAAUACCGCAUACGACCUACGGGUGAAAGCAGGGGAUCUUCGGACCUUGCGCGAUUGAAUGAGCCGAUGUCGGAUUAGCUAGUUGGCGGGGUAAAGGCCCACCAAGGCGACGAUCCGUAGCUGGUCUGAGAGGAUGAUCAGCCACACUGGAACUGAGACACGGUCCAGACUCCUACGGGAGGCGGCAGUGGGGAAUAUUGGACAAUGGGCGCAAGCCUGAUCCAGCCAUACCGCGUGGGUGAAGAAGGCCUUCGGGUUGUAAAGCCCUUCUGUUGGGAAAGAAAAGCAGCAGGUUAAUACCCCGCUGUUCUGACGGUACCCAAAGAAUAAGCACCGGCUAACUUCGUG
rnacentral:rRNA from 1 species